AAAGUCUUUUGAAGAAAUUAGUAAAAUUACAGCGAAAUUUAUUUGGUUGGGCAAAAAAUCUAGAAUAAAGAUGAAAGCAUUACAAGAUAUUAAAAGCAGAGGGGGACUUGGACUUCCAAAUUGGGAG